AUUAGAUACCCGCGUAGUCCAGGGUAGUAAACGCUGCAGACUUGGUUGGUUCGGGAACCCGUUCGGGGGUGCUCAGUGCCGGAGAGAAGUUGUUAAGUCUGCCACCUGGGAAGUACGGUCGCAAGGCUAGAAACUUAAAGGAAUUGGCGGGGGAGCACCACAACGGGUGGAGCCUGCGGUUUAAUCGGACUCAACGCCGGGAAUCUCACCGGAUAAGACAGCUGAAUGAUAGUCGGGAUGAAGACUCUACUUGACUAGCUG
rnacentral:rRNA from 1 species